UGGAAUGGGGUGUACCAUGACUG
rnacentral:miRNA from 1 species